AUUGACCUCAGAUCAGACAAGAUUACCCGCCGAAUUUAAGCAUAUUAUUAAGCGGAGGAAAAGAAACUAACAAGGAUUCCCCUAGUAACGGCGAGCGAACCGGGAAGAGCCCAACUUGAAAAUCUGGCAGCUUCGCUGUCCGAAUUGUAGUCUAAAGAAGCGUCCUCUGUAGCGGACCGGGCCCAAGUUCCCUGGAAUGGGACGUCAGAGAGGGUGAGAGCCCCGUCGACCCCGGA
rnacentral:rRNA from 1 species